rnacentral:misc_RNA from 1 species
CGAGUCCCAUAAUGCCAGAUGUACAUAACAAGCAUAAAGAUGACUGAGAGCACAAUAGGAGCCCAACCCCCCUGGGGCACCUUCAUGAGGGCUGCUGAAAGGUAGACACCCUCAAUGAACCAGAAAAAUAUCAGGAAAGAGGCGGCCAGCAAGACACUUUUCUGCCAAACGAAGAUUAUGACAAGUGACAUGAGAAAUGUCGUGGUGUACAUUACUGUCAUACAUGCAAGUCCAUAAGCAUUUCCAAUGAGAGU